rnacentral:rRNA from 1 species
AUUGAACGCUGGCGGCAGGCCUAACACAUGCAAGUCGAACGAGUGGCGGACGGGUGAGUAAUGUCUGUGAAACUGCCCGAUGGAGGGGGAUAACUACUGGAAACGGUAGCUAAUACCGCAUUACAUCGGAUGCGCCCAGAUGGGAUUAGCGAGUAGGUGGGGUAACGGCUCACCUAGGCGACGAUCCCUAGCAGGUCUGAGAGGAUGACCGGCCACACUGUAACUGAGACACGGUCCAGACUCCUACGGGAGGAAGCAGUGGGGAAUAUUGCACAAUGGGCGCAAGCCUGAUGCAGCCAUGCGGCGUGUAUGAAGAGGGCCUUAGGGUUGUAAAGUACUUUCAGCGAGGAGGCGUUACUCGCAGAAGAAGCACCGGCUAACUCCGUGCCAGCAGCCGCGGUAAUUC